GGGGUUGUGGCUCAGUGGUAGAGCGCUUGCCUCUCAUGUGAGAGGCACUGGGUUCAAUUCUCAGCAUCACAU
rfam:Ictidomys tridecemlineatus contig106686, whole genome shotgun sequence.